rnacentral:snRNA from 1 species
AUACUCUGGUUUCUCUUCAGAUCGUAUAAAUCUUUUGCCUUUUACUAAAGAUUUCCAUGGAGAGGAACAGCUCUGAAUCUUAAGAUACCAUCUCAUGCCAGUUAGAAUGGCGA